rnacentral:rRNA from 1 species
GGGGAAUAUUGCGCAAUGGGGGAAACCCUGACGCAGCAAUACCGCGUGAGUGAAGAAGGUUUUCGGAUCGUAAAGCUCUGUUAUUGGGGAAGAAAAAAAGACGGUACCCAAGAAGAAAGUCCAGGCUAACUACGUGCCAGCAGCCGCGGUAAUACGUAGGGGACAAGCGUUGUCCGGAUUUACUGGGCGUAAAGGGCACGCAGGCGGUUUUUUAAGUCAGAUGUGAAAGGUACCGGCUCAACCGGUAACAUGCAUUUGAAACUGAAAGACUUGAGUAUUGGAGAGGCAAGUGGAAUUCCUGGUGUAGCGGUGAAAUGCGCAGAUAUCAGGAAGAACACCUAUGGCGAAGGCAGCUCUCUGGGACGGUACUGACGCUGAGACGCGAAAGCGUGGGGAGCGAACA